rnacentral:RNase_P_RNA from 1 species
CGAGUGGGUUGGGCGGUCGCCGGCCACGCAGGUAGCCGGAGGAAAGUCCGAGCAGGACAGGGCAACGGUGGUGGCUAACGGCCACCGGGGGCGACCCCAGGGAAAGUGCCGCAGAAAACACACAGCCGAUGGUUUCGACUUGUCGGAACACAGGUAAAGGUGAAAAGGUGCGGUAAGAGCGCACCGCGGCGUCGGUGACGGCGCCGGCAGGGUAAACCCCACCGCCUGCAAGACCAAGCAGCUGGUUGGCUUUGGCCACACUUGGCCCGAGUGUGAGCGGCCGAAAUAGCCGCUCGAUCAGCGGGUAGGUCGCAUCCCGACGUGUCGGGAGAGCCGACUGGUAACAGUCGGUCAAGAUAAAUGGCCGUCACCCCGCACCAAAAGCUCAUCUGAAUAAUGAGCUGACGUCAUUCGCGAAACGGUGGCAUACGUGUCCCGGAGUAGAAAGAGGAUGAGCUCUUGGUGCGGGGAUACAGAACUCGGCUUAUAGACCCACUCGUUCC